rnacentral:misc_RNA from 1 species
GCGCUAGUGGUGUAGUAGCAG